rnacentral:rRNA from 1 species
UACGUAGGGACCAAGCGUUUGUUCGGAUUUACUGGGCGUAAAGGGCGCGUAGGCGGCGUGUUAAGUCACUUGUGAAAUCUCUAAGCUUAACUUAGAACGGUCAAGUGAUACUGAUGUGCUAGAGUGCAGAAGGGGCAACCGGAAUUCUUGGUGUAGCGGUGAAAUGCGUAGAUAUCAAGAGGAACACCUGAGGUGAAGACGGGUUGCUGGGCUGACACUGACGCUGAGGCGCGAAAAGCUAGGGUAGCAAACGGGG